rnacentral:rRNA from 1 species
CCUACGGGUGGCAGCAGUGAGGAAUAUUGGUCAAUGGGCGGAAGCCUGAACCAGCCAAGUAGCGUGCAGGAUGACGGCCCUACGGGUUGUAAACUGCUUUUAUACAGGAAUAACGCGCGUUACGUGUAGCGCUUUGCAUGUACCGUAUGAAUAAGGACCGGCUAAUUCCGUGCCAGCAGCCGCGGUAAUACGGAAGAUCCGGGCGUUAUCCGGAUUUAUUGGGUUUAAAGGGAGCGUAGGUCGCAUGUCAAGUGUGCUGUGAAAUGUCCGGGCUCAACCCGGGACUUGCAGCGUGUACUGGCCUGCUUGAGUCCGCGGAAAGCAGGCGGAAUU